rnacentral:misc_RNA from 1 species
CCUUAAAGAACCUGCCUUUGUAGUGCUCACACAGAUUGUCUGAUGAACGUAAAGAAGCAAGGCGUCUUGCGAUUGAGACUUCAGUGUCCCCUUCGUCUAGAGGCCCAGGACACCGCCCUUUCACGGCGGUAACAGGGGUUCGAAUCCCCUAGGGGACGCCACUUGCUGGUUCGUGAGUGAAAGACGCGUGCCGAACUAUCUCAAAACUCAUCUUCGGGUGACGUUUGAGAUAGUUGCUCUUUAAAAAUCUGGAUCAAGCUGAAAAUUGAAACGACACACAGACAAUGUGUGUUCGAGUCUCUCAAAUUUUCGCGACACGAUGAUGUUUUACGAAACAUCUUCGGGUUGUGA